rnacentral:rRNA from 1 species
CCUGGCGGCAAUAGCGCAGUGGAACCACCUGACCCCAUGCCGAACUCAGAAGUGAAACGCUGUAGCGCCGAUGGUAGUGUGGCAUU